AUUGAACGCUGGCGGCAUGCCUAACACAUGCAAGUCGAACGGUAACAGAAAGCAUCUUUCUGCUUUUCUGACGAGUGGCGGACGGGUGAGAAAUGUCUGGGAAACUGCCUGAUUUGGGGUGAUAACUACUGGAAACGGUAGCUAAUACCUCAUAACUUCUCAAGACCAAAGAGGGGUACCUUGGUGCCGCUUUCGGUGAUGUGUUCGCAGAUGGGAUGAGCUAGUGGGUGGGGUAACGGGUCACCUAGGCGACGAUCCCUAGCUGGUGUGAGAGUGUGACGAGCGACAUUAGAGGUGAGACAGGGUCAAGACGCCUGAGGGAGGCAGCAGUCGGGAAUAUUGGGCAAUGGGCGGAAGCAUGGUGCAGUCAUGCCGCGUGUAUGAAGGAGGCGUUCGGGUUGUAAAGUACUUUCAGCGGGGGGGAAGGGAGUAAAGUUAAUACCUUGGCUCAUUGACGUUAACCGGAGAAGAAGCACCGGCUAACUACGUG
rnacentral:rRNA from 1 species